GUCCACGCCGUAAACGUUGGGCACUAGGUGUGGGUCACAACCAACGUGAUCUGUGCCGUAGCUAACGCAUUAAGUGCCACGCCUGGGGAGUACGGCCGCAAGGCUAAAACUCAAAGGAAUUGACGGGGGCCCGCACAAGCGGCGGAGCAUGUUGCUUAAUUCGAGGCAACGCGAAGAACCUUACCUGGGUUUGACAUGUAGGGAAAAGCCGUAGAGAUACGGUGUCCUUCGGGGCCCUACACAGGUGGUGCAUGGCUGUCGU
rnacentral:rRNA from 1 species